rnacentral:rRNA from 1 species
AUACGAAGGGGGCUAGCGUUGUUCGGAUUUACUGGGCGUAAAGCGCACGUAGGCGGAUUGAUUAGUUAGGGGUGAAAUCCCGAGGCUCAACCUCGGAACUGCCUUUAAUACUGUCAAUCUCGAGACCGGAAGAGGUGAGUGGAACUCCUAGUGUAGAGGUGGAAUUCGUAGAUAUUAGGAAGAACACCAGUGGCGAAGGCGGCUCACUGGUCCGGUACUGACGCUGAGGUGCGAAAGCGUGGGGAGCGAACAGGAUUAGAUACCCUAGUAGUCC